rnacentral:lncRNA from 1 species
GCGCCUCACCCCACCCCCAGCCUGAGUUCCUCAGGGUCUGUCCCAUGGAGAAGAUAAAGGAUUCUGUCAGGAGUGGUGACCUCACAGCAGGCAGGAGUCACAAAACCCCAUCCUUUCCUUUCUCCCCACAGCUGCUCACUGCUCAAAGAAAACAUGUGUUGCCUGAAGCUGGAGACUUGCUCUUUUCCGCAACAACAUAAUGUCAGAGAACGAUGAUGAUCCGGCAAUGGGUCAGUUUUUGUUAAGAAAGGAAUUCUUGUGCCUUUUGAAGCCAAACCUUCAAAAAAGUUGCCUGUGCUGCUUCCUCGGAUGUGGAUAAGAGGUGCCAGCAGGGGGCGCCCUCUUACAAGGCACUCACUAAGCAGCUCCGCUGCGGCGCCUUUUCCUUUCGUGGUCAGCUUCGAUGACGUCACCGUAGCGGGGCAGUCCUCUUGCUCCGGAUACACACAAGCACAAAGAAGCACAAACCUGCUCGGUACCGCGAAACUUUCGCUUCCUUCCUGUGUCUUGUCACUCUUCAUAGAAACUCAAGUCAGAAUUACAAGGGAAGCGAACACCUGCACGGAUGGGCGGGACGUGGAGGCAGGGAAACACGGCGGCAGGGGAAUAAGUGGAUUCGAUAGGGAGAAGAGCUGGUGGAGAGGAGAGGCGCCAGGACCAGGCUGUUUGUUCCUGAAAACAUCUAUCAAACUGGGGUUAACAAAAACAAUCCUUUUUGUGGGCAUGAGAGCACCUUCGGAUGGUCACACUGUUGCCUAACCUGUCAAAGCUUUAAGAAAUUAUCAGGCACUGCUGGACCUUCACAAAGCAUGAGCUUGGUUCCACCUUGAGUUUCUCCCUUUCUCCAAGUGCCAGCUUGAGUCCUCCUGGUUGGAAUUCCCAUAACAGUAGCAGUAAAGGAGGAGAUGAGGCAGUCUUGGUUGAAAUAUGACUGCACAAGGAGAGAGGAAGAUAUGCAUCGUUAUGAAGAAGCUGAAGACCCUGCAGCAAACCAGGUCAGUCUGUGUUCUUCUGGAGAAGAGAAUAAACAGGGAAGACUAGGGAGGGAGGGAGAAAGA